rnacentral:rRNA from 1 species
GAUGAACGCUGGCGGCGUGCCUAAUACAUGCAAGUCGAACGCAGUGGGGACGGGUGAGUAACACGUGGGUAACCUCCCAUCAGAGGGGAUAACACUUGGAUACAGGUGCUAAACCGAUACUGAUGGAUGGACCCGCGGUGCAUUAGCUAGAUGGUGGGGUAACGGCUCACCAAGGCGACGAUGCAUAGCCGGCCUGAGAGGAUGAUCGGCCACACGGGGACUGAGACACGGCCCAGACUCCUACGGGAGGCAGCAGUAGGGAAUCUUCGGCAAUGGACGAAAGUCUGACCGAGCAACGCCGCGUGUAUGAAGAAGGUUUUCGGGUCGUAAAGCACUGUUGUUAGAGAAGCGGUAUCUAACCAAAAAGCCACGGCUAACUACGUGCCAGCAGCCGCGGUAAUAC